UACGUAGGUGGCAAGCGUUGUCCGGAUUUACUGGGCGUAAAGAGCGCGCAGGCGGCUGGGCAAGUCCGAUGUGAAAGCUUCCGGCUUAACUGGAAAAUUGCAUCGGAAACUGCUCGGCUUGAAGGUGGGAGAGGGUAGCGGAAUUCCAGGUGUAGCGGUGAAAUGCGUAGAUAUCUGGAGGAACACCGGUGGCGAAGGCGGCAUCCUGGACCGGCAUUGACGCUGAGGAGCGAAAGCCAGGGGAGCAAACGGG
rnacentral:rRNA from 1 species